UUUCAACGUGUUGAUUUUCUUGGCUAGC
rnacentral:sRNA from 1 species